AUUGAACGCUGGCGGCAGGCCUAACACAUGCAAGUCGAACGGUAACAGGAAACAGCUUGCUGUUUCGCUGACGAGUGGCGGACGGGUGAGUAAUGUCUGGGAAACUGCCUGAUGGAGGGGGAUAACUACUGGAAACGGUAGCUAAUACCGCAUAACGUCGCAAGACCAAAGAGGGGGACCUUCGGGCCCCUUGCCAUCAGAUGUGCCCAGAUGGGAUUAGCUAGUAGGUGGGGUAACGGCUCACCUAGGCGACGAUCCCUAGCUGGUCUGAGAGGAUGACCAGCCACACUGGAACUGAGACACGGUCCAGACUCCUACGGGAGGCAGCAGUGGGGAAUAUUGCACAAUGGGCGCAAGCCUGAUGCAGCCAUGCCGCGUGUAUGAAGAAGGCCUUCGGGUUGUAAAGUACUUUCAGCGGGGAGGAAGGGAGUAAAGUUAAUACCUUUGCUCAUUGACGUUACCCGCAGAAGAAGCACCGGCUAACUCCGUG
rnacentral:rRNA from 1 species